AACCUGCACCAUCGACCGACCAUGAUCUUCUGUGAAAGGUUUGAGUAAGAGCAUGCCUGUUGGGACCCGAAAGAUGGUGAACUAUGCCUGAGCAGGGCGAAGCCAGAGGAAACUCUGGUGGAGGCUCGUAGAUGUGCUGACGUGCAAAUCGCUUUUCGGACUUGGGUAUAGGGGCGAAAGACUACUAGUAGCUGGUUCCCUCCGAAGUUUCCCCCAGGAUAGCUGGAGCUUGUGCAGUUUUAUCGGGUAAAGCGAAUGAUUAGAGGUACCGGGGAUGAAACAUCCUCGACCUAUUCUCAAACUUUAAAUAGGUAAGACGUCAUGGUUACUUAACUGAACCGUGGCAGUCAAUGAGAGCUCCAAGUGGGCCAUUUUGGUAAGCAGA
rnacentral:rRNA from 1 species